AUUGAACGCUGGCGGCAGGCCUAACACAUGCAAGUCGAACGGCAGCACAGAAGAGCUUGCUCUUUGGGUGGCGAGUGGCGGACGGGUGAGUAACACGUAGGAAUCUACCCAGUAGUGGGGGAUAACCUGGGGAAACCCAGGCUAAUACCGCAUACGCCCUGAGGGGGAAAGCGGGGGAUCUUCGGACCUCGCGCUAUUGGAUGAGCCUGCGUCGGAUUAGCUAGUUGGUGGGUAAGGGCCCACCAAGGCGACGAUCCGUAGCUGGUCUGAGAGGAUGACCAGUCACACCGGAACUGAGACACGGUCCGGACUCCUACGGGAGGCAGCAGUGGGGAAUAUUGGACAAUGGGCGCAAGCCUGAUCCAGCCAUGCCGCGUGGGUGAAGAAGGCCUCGG
rnacentral:rRNA from 1 species